UACGAAGGGGGCUAGCGUUGUUCGGAAUUACUGGGCGUAAAGGGCGCGUAGGCGGCUUCGCUAGUCGGGCGUGAAAUGCCUGGGCUUAACCCGGGAAUUGCGUUCGAUACUUCGAGGCUAGAGUGUGGGAGAGGUUGGUGGAAUUCCCAGUGUAGAGGUGAAAUUCGUAGAUAUUGGGAAGAACACCGGUGGCGAAGGCGGCCAACUGGACCACAACUGACGCUGAGGCGCGAAAGCGUGGGGAGCAAACGGG
rnacentral:rRNA from 1 species